rnacentral:rRNA from 1 species
AUUGAACGCUGGCGGCAGGCCUAACACAUGCAAGUCGAACGGUAACAGGAAACAGCUUGCUGUUUCGCUGACGAGUGGCGGACGGGUGAGUAAUGUCUGGGAAACUGCCUGAUGGAGGGGGAUAACUACUGGAAACGGUAGCUAAUACCGCAUAACGUCGCAAGACCAAAGAGGGGGACCUUCGGGCCUCUUGCCAUCGGAUGUGCCCAGAUGGGAUUAGCUAGUAGGUGGGGUAACGGCUCACCUAGGCGACGAUCCCUAGCUGGUCUGAGAGGAUGACCAGCCACACUGGAACUGAGACACGGUCCAGACUCCUACGGGAGGCAGCAGUGGGGAAUAUUGCACAACGGGCGCAAGCCUGAUGCAGCCAUGCCGCGUGUAUGAAGAAGGCCUUCGGGUUGUAAAGUACUUUCAGCGGGGAGGAAGGGAGUAAAGUUAAUACCUUUGCUCAUUGACGUUACCCGCAGAAGAAGCACCGGCUAACUCCGUG